AGCAAAGUGAUGAGACUCUUGUGUCUGAAUAUGAUGUGGAAUCACAGAUCAUAUAUGCCUUCAAAGUUCUCUGAUUGCU
rfam:Punica granatum cultivar Dabenzi scaffold665, whole genome shotgun sequence.